rnacentral:rRNA from 1 species
GAGACACGCUGCGGCUGGAUUAGGCAUGCAAGUCGAACGGUAGGAUACCUUCGGGUAUCUGAGAGUGGCGAACGGGUGAGUAACACGUAGGUGAUCUACCCUCAAGAUUGGGACAACCCAGGGGAAAACUUGGGCUAAUACCGGAUGAAAGCAGCAGUGAUGUUGUUUGAAAGGUGGCGUAAGCUGCCGUUUGGGGAUGAGCCUGCGCUCUAUUAGUUAGUUGGCGGGUAAAGGCCCACCAAGGCGAUGAUAGAUAGGCGGCCUUAACGGGUGGUCGCCCACACUGGGAUUGAGAUACGGCCCAGACUCCUACGGGAGGCAGCAGUCGAGAAUAGUCCACAAUGGCCGAAAGGCUGAUAGUGCGACGCCGCGUGAACGAAGAAGCCCUUCGGGGUGUAAAGUUCUUUUAUAUGUGAGCAGUGCUUUCUAUGUGAACAGCAUGGGGAGAGAGAUAUUAGCAUAUGAAUAAGCAACGGCUAACUCCGUG